GUUGGGGGAGCGACUUUUUAUCUCGACUUUCUUUCUUUUUUUUCUUUUUUCUAGGGUUUAGAUCCUUUGUUUCUGCUGCACCAGGCGGCCUUCCUCUGCUCUUCCUCGUUCCGGGUAGGGUUGUGAUUUAGAAUAAGUUGUGUUUUGUGGUAGAUCCAAAGCUUUUUGGGUGAGGGUUUCCUUUAGAUCUGCACUGAUUUUGCUCCAAUAGAGGCGAGCUGCUUAUUUCUUCUGUUACGGUGCAAUGGCCACAGUUCUGUUAAGCUAUGGUUGAGGGGUCUUUUUUUUCAGUGUGGAUGGUUAUCGCAGGGGUUUUUAGCCAACCUCCUUCUUGGUGGCCGACCUUCAAGGCCAAUAGAUGUUAGUGCUGGUGAACUCUGCCUCCAUUCCCUUUGAAGGUUAUCGUAGAUAGCUGUGUGUUUUGGAUAUCGAGUUUGGUUGACUAGUUGGGUUUGAGUCUCGGCUAUGGCUUUGUUAAACAUGCAAGCUUGGUUACCAUGGAUGCCUAUGUUUUCUUCUCGCAACGGCCAAACAGUUCUGGCUCAAGAGACCAACGGCCCUGUAAGGGAUGAUGGAUGCUGAGCUCUUUAGUUUUUUAUCUGGGUUAUGUGUUUAUGUAGAGAUUGUCUUUUGAGGCCCUUUGCGCUACUUCUGGAA
rnacentral:misc_RNA from 1 species